CUAGGGUUUUCAUGGGUUUUUCUUGGGUUUUCAGCGUUUUUUAGGGUUUUCUAGGGUUUUUUAUGGUUCUUAUGAUUUUUUAGGGUUUUCUAGAGUUUUUGGGGUUUUUAUGAUUUUCUAGGAUUUUUUAUGAUUUUCUAGGGUUUUUAGGGUUUUCUAGGAUUUUUUACGAUUUUCUAGGGUUUUUUAGUUUUUUUUAGGGUUUCUUAGGAUUCUCUACGAUUUUUAAGGAUUUUUUGGGUUUUCUAGGAUUUUUUGGAGUCCUUUAUGAUUUUUUAGGGUUUUUAGGGUGUUCAGGGUUUUUUCGGAUUGUCUAGGGAUUUUUCGAUUUGUUAGGGUUUUCUAUUCUUUUUUAGGGUUUUUGAGGGUUUUCUAUUCCUUUUUAGGGUUUUUAUUUUUUAGGAGUUUUUUUGGGUUUUCUAGAAUUUUUAGAUUUUUAUGGUUUUUAGGAUUUUCUUGGGUUUUCGGGUUUUUUUGGGUUUUCUAAGGGUUUUUAGGAUUUUCUAGUGUUUUUAAGGUUUUU